rnacentral:rRNA from 1 species
CGCGUAGGCGGUUUUAUAAGUCAGAUGUGAAAGCCCAUGGCUCAACCAUGGACGUGCAUUUGAAACUGUGAGACUUGAGUAUUGGAGGGGUGGUGGAAUUCCCGGUGUAGAGGUGAAAUUCGUAGAUAUCGGGAGGAAUACCAGUGGCGAAGGCGACCACCUGGCCAAAUACUGACGCUAAUGUGCGAAAGCGUGGGGAGCAAACA